rnacentral:rRNA from 1 species
ACGAACGCUGGCGGCGUGCUUAACACAUGCAAGUCGAACGGAAAGGCCUGCUUUCCCUUGUGGAUUGCGGGUACUCGAGUGGCGAACGGGUGAGUAACACGUGAGUGAUCUGCCCCCAACUUGGGUAUAAGCCUGGGAAACUGGGUCUAAUUCCCGAUAGGACUGCAGGGUGGUGCCUGUGGUGGAAAACGAUUUUCUAGUGGUUGGGGAUGAGCUCGCGGCCUAUCAGCUUGUUGGUGGGGUAAUGGCCUACCAAGGCGGCGACGGGUAGCCGGCCUGAGAGAGUGGACGGCCACAUUGGGACUGAGAUACGGCCAAGACUCCUACGGGAGGCAGCAGUGGGGAAUAUUGCACAAUGGGCGGAAGCCUGAUGCAGCGACGCCGCGUGGGGGAUGACGGCCUUCGGGUUGUAAACUCCUUUCGACCGCGAGGAAGCCACCUGGUUGGAAGGGUGGUGACGGUAGUGGUAGAAGAAGCACCGGCUAACUACGUG